rnacentral:misc_RNA from 1 species
GAAAUGCGAUAAGUAAUGUGAAUUGCAGAAUUCAGUGAAUCAUCGAAUCUUUGAACGCAUCUUGCGCUCCUUGGUAUUCCUUGGAGCAUGCCUGUUUGAGUAUCAUGAAAUCUUCAAAGUAAAUCUUUUGUUAACUCAAUUGGUUUCUACUUUGGUAUUGGAGGUCUUUGCAGCUUCACACCUGCUCCUCUUUGUUCAUUAGCUGGAUCUCAGUGUUAUGCUUGGUUCCACUCGGCGUGAUAAGUUAUCUAUCGCUGAGGACACUGUAAAAGGUGGCCAAGGUAAAUGCAGAUGAACCGCUUCUAAUAGUCCAUUGACUUGGACAAUACUUUUAUGAUCUGAUCUCAAAUCAGAUAGGACUACCCGCUGAACUUAAGC